AUGAGCUGUGGGUAGCGGAGAAAUUCCAAUCGAACUCGGAGAUAGCUGGUUCUCCCCGAAAUAGCUUUAGGGCUAGCCUUGAAUGUAGAGAUGUGGAGGUAGAGCACUGAAUGUCCUAGGGGGUAUUGCACUUACCGAAGACUAUCAAACUCCGAAUGCCAUUAUCUUUUAUUCAGGAGUCAGACUAUGGGUGAUAAGGUUCAUAGUCGAAAGGGAAAGAGCCCAGACCGUCAGCUAAGGUCCCUAAAUGUAUGUUAAGUGGUAAAGGAUGUGGGAUUGCACAGACAACCAGGAUGUUGGCUUAGAAGCAGCCACUCAUUUAAAGAGUGCGUAAUAGCUCACUGGUCGAGUGAUCCUGCGCCGAAGAUUUCCGGGGCUAAAACAUACUACCGAAGCUACGGCAUCAUAUGAUGAUGGGUAGGGGAGCUUCCCAUGCAGGCUGAAGCGAUACCGUAAGGAGUCGUGGACAGUAUGGGAGAGAGAAUGUUGGCAUGAGUAGCGAGAUGAGGGUGAGAAUCCCUCAGGCCGUAAACCCAAGGUUUCCAGGGGAAGGUUCGUCCACCCUGGGUUAGUCGGGACCUAAGCUCAGGCCGAAAGGCGUAGGCGAUGGACAACAGGUUGAGAUUCCUGUACUACCGAUAAUCGUUUGAGAGAAGGGAUGACACAGUAGGAUAAGCUGAGCACACUGUUGGUUAAGUGUGUCUAAGCGUUGAGGCAGACUAGAUAGGCAAAUCCGUUUAGUUAAUGCUGGGGCGCGAUGGGGAGCGAAACUAAGUAGCGAAGCAGCUGAUUUCACACUGUCGAGAAAAGUCUCUAUCGAGAUUAAAGGUACCCGUACCGCAAACCGACACAGGUGGGUGAGGAGAGUAUCCUAAGGCCAGCGAGAGAACUGUUGUUAAGGAACUCGGCAAAAUGACCCCGUAACUUAGGGAUAAGGGGUGCCCCAGCAAUGGGGCCGCAGAGAAUUGGCCCAAGCGACUGUUUACCAAAAACAUAGGUUUCUGCUAAGUCGCAAGACGAUGUAUAGGAGCUGACGCCUGCCCGGUGCUGGAAGGUUAAGGGGAUCUGUAAGAGUAAUCGAAGCAGUGAUCUUAAGCCCCAGUAAACGGCGGCCGUAACUAUAACGGUCCUAAGGUAGCGAAAUUCCUUGUCGGGUAAGUUCCGACCCGCACGAAAGGCGUAACGAUUUGGGCACUGUCUCAACGA
rnacentral:rRNA from 1 species